rnacentral:rRNA from 1 species
GACGAACGCUGGCGGCGUGCUUAACACAUGCAAGUCGAACGGUGAAGCGCCUUCCUUUUUGGUGGGUGUGGAUGAGUGGCGAACGGGUGAGUAACACGUGAGUAACCUGCCCCCUUCUUCUGGAUAACCGCAUGAAAGUGUGGCUAAUACGGGAUAUUCUGGGUCUGUCGCAUGAUGGGUCUGGGAAAGAUAUUGUUUCGGUGGGGGAUGGGCUCGCGGCCUAUCAGCUUGUUGGUGGGGUGAUGGCCUACCAAGGCGGUGACGGGUAGCCGGCCUGAGAGGGUGGACGGUCACACUGGGACUGAGACACGGCCCAGACUCCUACGGGAGGCAGCAGUGGGGAAUAUUGCACAAUGGGCGCAAGCCUGAUGCAGCGACGCCGCGUGAGGGAUGGAGGCCUUCGGGUUGUGAACCUCUUUCGCCAGUGAAGCAGGCCUGCCUCGUUUGUGGGUGGGUUGACGGUAGCUGGAGAAAAAGCGCCGGCUAACUACGUG